rnacentral:rRNA from 1 species
AUUGAACGCUGGCGGCAGGCCUAACACAUGCAAGUCGAGCGGCAGCGGGAAAGUAGCUUGCUACUUUUGCCGGCGAGCGGCGGACGGGUGAGUAAUGCCUGGGAAAUUGCCCAGUCGAGGGGGAUAACAGUUGGAAACGACUGCUAAUACCGCAUACGCCCUACGGGGGAAAGCAGGGGACCUUCUGGCCUUGCGCGAUUGGAUAUGCCCAGGUGGGAUUAGCUAGUUGGUGAGGUAAUGGCUCACCAAGGCGACGAUCCCUAGCUGGUCUGAGAGGAUGAUCAGCCACACUGGAGCUGAGACACGGUCAAGACUCCUACGGGAGGCAGCAGUGGGGAAUAUUGCACAAUGGGGGAAACCCUGAUGCAGCCAUGCCGCGUGUGUGAAGAAGGCCUUCGGGUUGUAAAGCACUUUCAGCGAGGAGGAAAGGUCAGUAGCUAAUACCUGCUGACUGUGACGUUACUCGCAGAAGAAGCACCGGCUAACUCCGUGCCAGCCGCCGCCGUAAGAC